rnacentral:lncRNA from 1 species
CAUCAAGAGUCAAAAGUCAAUGGCAGCCUAAUUUGACACAUCUCUUAUCGAGGGACAAUCCACAAACUGACCUUCACUUUUUAAUGGAUCAAACUACACCUAUUGGAAAGCUCAGAUGAGAAUUUUUAUUCAAGCACUUGAUUAUGAUAUGUAGAGUAUCAUAAUAAAUAGACCACAUACACCCUCUAAAUUGAUUGAUGGUGUGUCUCUCCCUA